GAGACCCUAUACGUUGUCUUUGUCCUUCUUCAGCUGAGCCAAAUGGCUCAGACUUCAGAGUCUCUUUUUUCUCCUUCCUCUCUAAUUUCUGUCACUAUCUUAUUCUAAUCAGGUGUCAAGCGUCCUUCCUGGGAAGGUCAAAGGAUGGGAAGGGUCUUUGGGGUGACCCUGUGAAGUUCAAAGGAUCAACCCCUUUCAACAGCAGUUUGUUGUUCUUUUCUUUCUUCAAUUGAUGAUUUAAAGAUAUUUAAAGAUAUUCUCUCUUCUGGCAAGGGCAAUGGAGGCAAAGCUCUGUCACCACAGGUUGGGAUCUCAGCUUGGGUCCUAACUCCUAACUCUCCAGAGUUCACAGGGCAAAGGCCUCUCUUUUUCAGCUCUCACUCCCACAAGCCCCUUUUGCUGCUCCAACUGCUGCUCCCCCUCCCGGGCACAUUCUAAACAAUGGUUCUGCAGUCUCAGUUUUCCUUUCCAUACCAUCCUCAUCCUCCCCUCCACUUUAAUAAUUUUCCUGCCUCUUUAGGCGAGUUAAUUUACCCCAUUUCACCUCUCACUUCCCUUUUCUCUCAGUGCAAUCUUCUUUUUUACUUCUUGAUUUUUUUUCAUAUAUCAUAUGAUCCCAAUCAACUUAGUCUCACAUUCUUUGUCUAUGUAUAUGGAGUAUCUCCUUCUAACUGCUCUAAUAGUGAUAACACUUUUUGAGAAUUACAAAUAUCAUCUUUCUACAUAGGAAUACAUACAGUUUUACUUCAGUGAGUCCCUUCAAUUUUCUUCCUUAUUUACCCUUUUAUGCUUCUCUUGGGUCUUGUAUUUGGAUGUCAGAUUUUCUGUUUGUCUGAUCUUUUCAUCAGGAAUGCUUAGAAAUAUUCUAUUUUAUUUAAUGAUCAUUUUUUUUUGUUAAUCCUGAAAGAAUAUACUCAUUUUUGCUGAAUAGGUGAUUCUGGGUUUUAAACCUAGAUUUUUUUGCCUUCUGGAAUAUCAUAUUCCAAGCCUUCCAAUUCUUUAAUGUGGAGGCUGCUAAGCCUUGUUUAAUUCUGACUGUAGUUCCAUGGUAUUUGAAUUAUUUCUUUCUGGCUGUUUGCUAAGCCAUUUUCUCCUGCAUAUAUAUCACUAUUAGGGGGAGAUAUUUCUAUUGCUUCCUAUAUACAGGAAUUGCAGCACAAACUGUGUGAACUCCAUGAAUCCAGAGCUGCAGUUCAAGCAGGACCACUAGACUUUUCACUUUAUGACCUGAACCCAGGAGACAAGGUAUAUAAAAAGAACUUCCAGCAUGCUAGAGCAACUCAGCCUUCCUGGGAAGGGCUGUUUCAAAUAUUGUUAACCAGUCCAACAGCUAUAAAAACUGGAGAAAAGGACUCUUGGAUUAAUUGCUCACAGCAUCUUCUAUUGAAACUGAUUGACAGAAUACUGUCACAUGCAUUGGAGAUAAUAGGUCAUAGACAAGACUGUUUGGGGGAACACAUUGAAUUCCUGAAUUUUUAUUUUAUUAUUGCCUUUCUUUUAUUUUAAUUAGAAUAUUUUUUUUUCUCAUUUCUUGGACUUAAUAUACAUACAAUCAGUAUUAAUCUUUUUUUUUUUUGCCAAAGGGGACUGCCUCCUAAUUGGGUUUUGUCAAUGAUCCUAGCAAAACAUUGGUUUUACUUUAUCUCUUCUGUUUACCUCCUAUCUUUAACAAUUGUAGUUUUCUCUUAGAAUGUACAAUUUUGUAUGUACCUGUACUUAGAUUUUUAGAAGUACAAGAUGAUUAUGUUAAAUGAUAAACUGGGGAGACUAGUCUCCCAAAUGAUCAUCAGGGGGUAUUAUGAAGAUGGAAUUACCUCUCCCUUAUUUAUUCUCUAGAUUUUAGCCACCAGGAAUGUAUACACCCCCACUUAAUUCUUAAUUGGGGAGGAGAAGGUCUAUGACCCACAUGUGCUAGCAAGUGGCAAAUCAAAAACAACUGACUGCUGUUAUAUUAAAAACUGUUAUAGGGAAGGUUUUAGGGAAAGGUUUCAUGGAAGGGUAACAGAAGAUAACACUAAUAAAAUAAAUAACAGAGGUAUAUUUAAUUAAAAGAAUAAAGGGAAUUGAAGGGGAUUUAGGGAAGUACUACUUCUAUUAACCCACCCAGGUAUUAAACUUAAUUAAACCUUAACUUAACUAAAACUAAACUACAAGGGGUUAGUAAUGUCCACAGGGCCAGAUUCUCACAAAUUACAGAUGAUUGGGUCAGACAGCAGACUCAAGAUGUAAUGUAUUAACAAGGUCCAAAAAGAGAGAAGGUUCUCACCAUUCACAUUGUCCACCAAUGUGAAGGGGAACACUCAUUCAACCUUACUUGAUAAUUCAAAGUCCUUGGCAGCUCCUCAAAUGGUUUCUUCAGGGAGACCACUAGGCAAACCUUCCAGUCUGACUAGGUUGAGAGAAAAGAGACUUUCCAACUGCCUUAGAAUCCUGACCCAGCCAAGAUCUGUGGAAUUUUGAUCUUGCACCAUUCCAGGCUGCCAGCCUGCAUUGCUAUGCCCUGCUAGAAAUCCUUUCCUACACUGCCCCCUGGACAAUCCGAAGUAAGGUUAAAGCUGCCAUUGUUACACAUAAGAGUGGACCAAAGGCACAGGAAGUGAUGCAAAGAACUGUCUUUAAAUUUGGUGGUAACUUCCUGUGAGAGGGGUUUUGCCUUUGAACUUGGCCUUGGAGGAACUUGGGCUUGAGACCUCAGACUGCUUCCCUUUGGACUGACAUGAAGGUGAGUGAAAAAGGCUGACCCCCUUUCCUUGAUUUUUUCUGGAGGCACUAGCCUUUAGAGAGGCUCCUCAUCUUGGAGGAGGCCUCGUGACUGGAAGCUCUCUCUCUCUCUCUCUCAUUUUCCUUACUUUCACUCUCCCUAUUUGUAAAUAAACUACCAUAAAAGUCAUUCUGACUUGAGUAAUUAAUUUGGAAUUAUGUAAUUAAAUUCAGUUCAACCAUAAUUUUACCCCUUACAGUUGGCUUGCACUGAUGUUGGCUUAGACAGGGUCUUAGGGUCUGAAUGUUGGUUUGGGCCCAGGUUUAGAACUUGGAACAGUAGAUGUGGGGUAUUGGGGCUUGCUGUUGUCUUGAGCUCUGCUCUCACCCUAGUGAACUGCCUACCUUUCAAGUUAUUCUCUACAUGAAAGUUGCUUCACUUGGUCUUCUUGUUAGUUCUUUCACUGCAGUAUUUGUUUUGAGGCAUUAUUUUAAGGUUGGUUGGAAAGGAUUGUUGUGGUUUGAGCUUUCCUUGUUUCUACUCUGCUAUCUUGGCUCCACUCUACUUUUUGUUUAAAAAAGUUCUACUUUGGUGUUUAACUGGGUUCUAAAAAUUUAUUGCUUUUCUAUUUUCUUUUUAGUUGUAUGCCCAAUUCAUUGAUCUGUUCUUUAUUUAUGAAAGUAUUUAGAGAUAUAAUUAGAAGAAAAAAAGGACUGUUUUACUUAUAUCCCCCCAAUCUUGGUAUGUUCUUUAUUUAUUGUCAUUGUCUUUAAUGAAAUUAUCUAUUCUUUCUUUUUGUUCUUUGAGUCACUCAUUCUUUAGGCUUGAGCUAUUUAAUCUACUUAAUGUUUAAUUAUUUCUUCAGCAGCCCCUUUAUUGAAUACCAUUUUUCUUGCUUUAUGAUUAUUUAUUUAUUUUUUUUAAAUUUUAUUUUAUUAUUUAAUUAUUAUUUAAUGAUUAUGAUAAUUUAAUAUUCCUGCUUUUUGGCAUUUGCUGUGAAUUUUUUUUUAAUCCUUACGUUCCAUUUUAGAAUCAAUUCUGUUUAUUGUUUUCUAGGCAGAAGAGUCAUAAAGACUAGGCAGCUGAUUUGCCUAGGGUCACACAAAUGGAUGUGUCUGAGGCCAUAUUUGCAACCAUGACUUCUUAGCUCUUAACCUGGCUCUCAAUCCACUGAGCCAUCUACCUAUUCCCUUGUAAAGUUUUUAUACCCUAAAACAUGGUCAAUUUUUCCAAGGUACUAUGUGGGACUCAGACAUAUGUAUUCUCCUUUUUUAAAAAAAGUUCUAUUUUCUUUUCUUUUCCAAAAUCUUUUCCAUCUUCCCUACCUAUUGAAAAGGCAAGAAAAAAACCCAAUUUAAAUAUAUACAGUAUAGUCAUGGAAAGCAAAAUUUUCACAUUAGCCAUGAUGUAUUUUCCUUCAUAUUCCCAUUCAGUAAUUUCUAGAAAUCUAGCCUAUCUAACUUUUCUAAAAUUCUAUUUGGGAUCCUACUUUCUUAUUUUUUGGUUCAAUUUGUCCAGUCCUGAAAGGGAAUAUAUCCCCCACUAUUAUCACUAUAAUGAUUUUUUUCUCUUAGAAUUUAGAUACAGUGCCAUCUAUUCAGUGCAUAGUUGUUUGGUACUGACAUUAAUUAUUUCUGGUACCUUUCAGCAUAAACAGAAGCAGCUAUGGCUCAGUGGUUGGACCCUGGGCCGAGUGUAGGGUAGAUGAGUUUAGAUGUGGCCUCAGACACUUUAACUGUAUGACCCUGGGCAAAUCAUUUAACCUCUGGUUGUCUGACAAAAGAUUCCUGACAACUGGAUCCUCUGGAGAACAAAAUAGCAAAUCACUCUAGUAUCCUUGUCAAGAAAAGCCCAUGGAUAGCUAUGGUCCAUAGGGUCAGGAAAAAUCAGAUGCAACAAAAACUUUUCAGCAUAAUAUAAUCUCCCGCUAUUUUUUUAAAGUCUAUUUUUGCUGUUGCCUUGUCUGAAAUCAUAAUUACUUGGCCUGACUUUUUGAGUUCAGCUCUCUUGACUGGAAAAAAACACAGAAGUAUUAGUCAAAAUCACUCUUUCAUCAAGGGGAAAAGGGGCUUAAUGCAAUAGUAGGCCUCGACACAGAGCUGCAUGCCACACUUGUCUCAGAGGAUUGAACUCUGGCCACUCUGGACUGACCCCUAGGAAAGCCAACCGUGCUAGAUUGGACAUUUCCAUAAAACUUGGGACUUGAACCCAAGACCCUAAGACUAAGAAGCUCACACCCUACCAAGUUAGCAGGGAUGACAUUUCACAAUAUACACAAAAAAGGAAAGACCAUGUCAAGGGCUGUGCCACCUUGGUAAGGGACUUUAGCCUAGGGGGACAAAAGAGAUAUUUAACUUCCGAUGGGAUUAGCUAUUCCCACUCAAACUACCAGGAUGUCUAUUGUUAGCCUGAGUCCAGUGAAGUAGGACCUUCCCUCAGGAAGAAACUCUCCUGUGACAAGGUCAAAACCUGGGGUUUCUACCUCCAAACUAAAUAAACUGGAGAUCGCCAAAUUCCUUCAAGCUACAAAUUUGGGGACUACCAGAUUCCACUUUGACAGCUGAUAUGUAAUAGAUUUAGCUUCAGUCACUUAUUUGAACUCUGUGUAAAUCUUCUUAAAAGCAAAUUUAAAAAACAAUAGCAUUUUUGGAUUCUGCUUUUCAUCCAUUUUUCUAUCUUCCCUUUUGCUCAUGAGCGCAUCCCAUUCACAUUUACAGUUAUAAUUUAUAAUUGUAUAUUUCUUCACAUCCUGUUAUUUUUCUCUCUCCUUUUCCCCUUACCCCUCUUUACAAAGAAGAGGGAAGUGAGAGAGGAGUGUGCACCAAAAGUUUGAUGCCAUCUGCUUCUGCUCUCCUGUCCCUCUUUUCUUACCUUCUCCCAGAGCUCAAUCACAUGUACUUUCUCUUUCUUUUCUUCCUUUUAAACUGCUCUCUUGAUCUCUCCAAAAUUUUGUUUUGCUUAGGACUAAUUUCCCUUCUCCUCUGCCUCUUUACCUGCUCUCUCAUUCCCCUCUUUGCCUUCCCUUCUUUCCCUCUUGUUUCCCUGUUGAGUAAGAUAUCUUUCAGGACCCAAUCAUUUGUGUGUAUUUUUCCCCUUCUUUGAUCACUUCAUGUUGUGAACUUCCUCCUACCUCUUUUCUCCUGGUCUGUAUGGUCUUCUACUUGCAUAUUGACUCUUCCCCCAGCAUAUUCCUUUCCUCCUCCCUUUCCCUUCUUUAAGAUCAUCAAAACAUUACAAAACCAUUCCCGGGUCCUCUUAUUUGAUAGCUAUGAGCCCUGAUAAUAUUAGGAUUCUGAGAGAAUACAUGUAUAAUUUCCCCCAUUCAAAUGUAAAUACUUUAUUCUUAAUUAAUUCCUUGUGCUUGUUCACUCAUUUUUACCUUUUUAUGUUUAUAUUUCAAAGUUUCUAUUUAGCUUUGGUCUUUUCAUCAGGAAUACUUGGAAGUCCUCUUUUUCAUUUAAGAACUUGAACAAGGCAAACAUUCAUAUGGAGUUCAGGGAAAAAAAUGGUACAAGGUUUCUUAAGGUUUCUCUGAAGAACUUUAGUAUCAAUUGUGAGACAUGAGCAAUGAUAGUACAGGAUCAUACAUCAAAGAAGACACUAUAUAACAAAGCAGAAUUGCAGUAGCCCAAAGUAAACAUGAAAUGGGCAAAUCUAGAGACAUGUCUGUCCCAAAUGUUCCAAAGGACUACAUGUGCUCAACCUGUGAUAGAAUCUGAACUUUUUUUGAAUCCAUCAGCCACAAUACAACAUACUCUGACCCCAACAUCUUCAAAAACAGUUGGCUAAAUGACAUGGGCAUUGUACCCCCAGAAACUCAGGCAAACUAUGAUCAGGGAAACUCCCUUGCUCCCUUGCAUCCUCGUGACUCUGAACCUAAAAACAUCCAAUGAUCCCUCUAGGGUCCUGAGAUGACUAUCUACCUUUGAUCGUCCUCUUGAUUUAAGAUGGACAGAGAGAAGCACCUCCAGGCCACACCUCGAUUCUAUCAGACAUCUGUUUGUUCCCUAAAACUAAGGAAUCCUUAUGUCCCCAGGCAGAUGAUCACCCUACCUCGCCAAAUGCCUGGGUGACUAACACUGUCUGUUGUAAAAAGUAUAAAAUCCCCAGAACUUAUGUCAUCUGGGGGAACAGCCUUUUCAUUAUUAAGAAAAAAAUUAGUUUCUAGUAAUAAAAGUAUUAUGUUUUUAUGAUUUAUUAAAGAUGAAGAAAUAAAGAAAAUACAAAAUAAGAAAGAACGUGCCUAGGAGGGCCGAAAGGCCCAUUCAAUUUCAUUUACACUACAGCUUGAGAGAUGCCUGUGCUUGGAAGCUGAAGCAGAAGCAGGGAGAGAGCAUAGGCAAUACAAUAGCUAUUGUGUUUUUGAACUCAGGUGAGAUUCAGGGAGAUUAGAGGGUAAUCUGGGAACUAGUAAGGACUUCUGGGGAUUGAAGUCUGGGGUUCAAAUCUCCAUUUUUACUCCAUUCAUGCUGUCCUCCCAAGGAACUGCUCCCCAUCUUGCUGUUCCACCUGCUAUCCUCCUGGCCAUUCUCAAUAUUACCUCCUAAAUUAAUAAAUUUCUCUUUUUGUUUUUAAGUUUAGUUUUGGAAUCUUGCAAAAGGUAUCCUUCCUGAACCCCAGGGGUACACAUCUGCACCCCACAACAUGUAGACCAACAUUUAAGCAGGCACAUAGAUAUAUAGUUGGUUCUUAUCAUUCCUGGUAGUUAUGUCCUAUAAAGUUUCUGUGAACAAGGAAAUUGUGGAUACUGCACCCAUUGCUUUUAGAGGAAAUGCAGAGUUAGGUAGGUUCCUGAGAGUCUCUAGUCACAUUUAAUUUAGAACUUUUCAGAUCUGCUUCACAUAUAGAUCAGCCUAUGAAAACACUGUCUUCAUGGUGAAGGAGCCCCAAGCAGGGAGCUGCUUGGUCAGUACAGCACAUAUCACUAUAGAACAUCUGACCAACAGACCCCUGUCAGGGAACCUAAAUGUGCUGACGCCCAAAACAUAGAGUCCAGAAGAAACUUGUACUGACGCCCAAAACGUAGAUUCCAGGAGAAACUUGUGGGCCACGUAUGGUGGCUAGUGAUAUGCUGUCAGGCAUUGGGUAUAAAAGACUCUGCACUCACAACUGCAGGCGGAACUCUUGUGCUGAGCUUCCCCUGGUGUAUACCAGAAUAAAGGACCCUCCUGCUUGAUUGCAUUGUCUGUGGGGUCUUCCAUGGCGGUGGGCGACGCACUGGACCCUAACAUUUGGGGGCUCGCCGGUACCCCUCCACCUUGGAACCCCCCAGACAGGAGGGCCUAAGGCAUUGCCUUGGACCGGACCUUCAGUACACUUCUCACUUAGGGGCUGACUUCCCCUUGUGACCGGUCUGCCAAUCGAGGGAAGGAGUGACAGGACACCCUUCAGAUCUCCAGGCAGUUCUCCACCGACCUGGGACCCUGGAAUCCACUGAGGAUGCGCCCCUAAAGACACUCUGCAGCCUUCCCUCCCCCUCUUAUUCCCCUCCCUCCCUCUCUCCUACACAUAGGUAGGGACAGCUCUACGCCCAUGCUCAGCACUGAAGAAACUACAGAAGAUCUGGACCUCCCGCCCUUUUCCCCUUAGACAUUUGGAGAGGGGAGGGGAUGGGAUGGCAGGGGGCACUGAACCAGGUGGGGCCUGAGACUCUGGCCCUCCGGGAGGCUAUGUGGUUCCCCUAUGGAUGGCCGGGCUGGCCAGAUGGCAGGACUCACCAGAAGCAGUGGGGAGACAGCUAGCAAAAGGAAUACAUGACCCACUCGCUUCCAUUACUUCACUUUCUCCCCUGCCUCUUGGUUUCCCCCUCCCUUGUCACAGAGUAUCCCUCAAUCGGGAGAUACUUAUCCCACCCGCAGGAGCGCACUGGCUGUGCCCCGCUCUGGCCUACAGCCCUGUGUCUCCCCUAGCUCCCUCACUGCCCGCUGCACCCCCUCUCAAUAAUACCCCGAGUGGCCUACUAUGCCAAGCAGGACCUCCUCUUCCUUAAGGAGGGGGCCUCUGUGCAGCCUUGGGUGAGGAGUGCUGCUUCUAUGUUAACCACUCAGGGAUCAUUAGGGACUCCCUAGGCUAGCUACGAGAAGGUCUAGAAACCCUGACUGAAGGAGAGGGAAACUGUCAGCCCCUGGUACGCCCACCUGUUCAAUUCUUCUCCCUAGUCACGUCCCUCAUAGGACCCCUCAUAAUAUUAACCCAGGUGUUGGACAUUUGGCCCCUGCGUUUUUAACCGCCUUGUUCAGUUCAUGAAAGGCCGGCUGGGUGCCACCCAGGUGUUGGCCCUCCGACAACAGUACCGACCCCUAGCGAGCCCCGGGCUGAGGGCCACAAGCUGCCUCAGUGGACAGGCCUUCCCUCUGCCCCCUAAGAGAAAAAGGAGUUGGGAAUGAGGGAGCCCCAAGCACGGAGCUGCUCGGUCAGUACAGCACAUAUCACUAUAGAACAUCUGACCAACAGACCCCUGUCAGGGAACCUAAAUGUGCCGAUGCCCAAAACGUAGAUUCCAGGAGAAACUUGUGGGCCACGUAUGGUGGCUAGUGAUAUGCUGUCAGGCAUUGGGUAUAAAAGACUCUGCACUCACAACUGCAGGCGGAACUCCUGUGCUGAGCUUCCCCUGGUGUAUACCAGAAUGAAGGACCCUCCUGCUUGAUUGCAUUGUCUGGGGGUUUUUCCUUGGUGGUGGGCAAUGCACUGGACCCUAACAAUGGAACCUCCAUAUUGACUAAUUUCCCAGACUGUUCCUAGAGAGUUAAAACAAAGGAUAAAUAUUGAAUUAACUAUGAAUUGGGUUUGUCUUUUCCCCAAGGAUUGAGUUUAAAGAAGACAGUAGACUCUUAAAUAUCUUUCUAAUCACCAGAGCCAGGAGUGGCUAAAGAUAAUAAUAAAAAAUCUUAAGUAUGUCUCAGACAUUCAAACUUCUAUGAUUAUGGCUAUCUCUUCUUUUCCAAGCUUCAGUGGAUUAAAAAGUGAUUUUUCUGACUA